rnacentral:rRNA from 1 species
UACGUAGGGUGCGAGCGUUAAUCGGAAUUACUGGGCGUAAAGCGUGCGCAGGCGGUUUUGUAAGCCAGAUGUGAAAUCCCCGGGCUUAACCUGGGAACUGCGCUUGUAACUGGCAAGCUAGAGUGUGGCAGAGGGGGGUGGAAUUCCAGGUGUAGCAGUGAAAUGCGUAGAGAUCUGGAGGAACACCGAUGGCGAAGGCAGCCCCCUGGGCUAACACUGACGCUCAUGCACGAAAGCGUGGGGAGCAAACAGG